rnacentral:rRNA from 1 species
CCAGCAGCCGCGGUAAUUCCAGCUCCAAUAGCGUAUAUUAAAGUUGCUGCAGUUAAAAAGCUCGUAGUUGGAUUUCUGACAUGGCGUACCCUGCCGGCCACGGUUUCGUGUGUCAGUGCGGGGCUUUGCCUGUCAUCCUUCUAGAAAACGUGCAUGCCCUUCACUGGGUUGUGUACGCGAUCUAGAUCUUUUACUUUGAAAAAAUUAGAGUGUUUAAAGCAGGCGUUUGCUCUGAAUACAUUAGCAUGGAAUAAUAAUUUAGGACUUCGGUCUUAUUUUGUUGGUUUCUAGGACUGAAGUAAUGAUUGAUAGGGACAGUUGGGGGUGCUAGUAUUGAGUGGCCAGAGGUGAAAUUCUUGGAUUCACUCAAGACUAACUUAUGCGAAAGCAUUCACCAAGGAUGUCUUCUUUAAUCAAGAACGAAAGU